AGAACUUUCCCUUUCCUUCUGAAUCGAUCUUCCAAAUAUCCUGGGAUCUGAAAAUAGUUUUACAUCGGGGAUUACAGGGCGUCAUGUCGGUGGGGUGGACAAAAUAAGACAUGGACCAUCUAUGGCUCCAACAUAUGAACAAAAGUAUGAACAAGACUUACAAGAAACUGAACAGGAUUCACGAAAGGGGAAGGAGCAAUCAUCAAACGUUUACUAAUCGUUCAAAGGUUAUGUUCCGCACGAAAGAGCCAAGAUUGAACUGUCAAAGCAAAAACGAGAAGGAAAGAACUCGAUGGGGAAUAAAAGUAAAGAAAGAUGGGUAAAAGUGUAAGAAAAAGAAGCAGUUGAAGAAUACGCUUGUAUUAUCAGAUUUGUGAUUUAAAAAAAAAAA